GGGGGGGAACCGUCGGACGCAGAAGAGAUGGCGGCGGACAUCAAGAGAGCUGGCCGGUGGUGGCAGGAGAAACAGUACAAAGAGAAAGCAAUGGCUUUAUCGGAAGAUACGUCCACGAGCUAAGGGCUCUAUGGAGAUCUUGGUGGGGUUAAAAUCCCGUGAUCCUUGAUAUAACCACUAAACGUUACCACACAGAGAGGAAGAACCAACCAUCACGGAGCAGUCUUAUGGUGAAAGGUAUAAGUACCCCAACAUUCUUUAAAGCAAGAUAGAAACCAGAGAAUUAUCUCCAGCUUGCAGCUUCUGAAUUUCAAAAUAAUUCAUCCCGUCUUCUGUGGAGGAUACAAAGCAGGGCGAGAACCUGGCUCUUCAGGCAGAAAAGACUGGUGGUGUUUUGGAGCCUCAGUAAGUAUACCUGGCGGAGAUCGAUUUAGAUUAAGCUCUACAGUCUUUCUGAAAUCCUGCCUGGGUCAGGGAGGUGUGAAUAUCUGCACCUGCUCUGUCUUCCCAAUAAUGAAUUUACUAUGUUGAUGGGGAAGAUUUGAAGGGAAGCUGUAUAACCAGGACACCUGUGCAAUCUCUUCUGAACUGUGUUCAGCUAAACACAGUUAUAGUUUCUCUUACAAACUUUCUCAACAACAAAAGCAGUUCGGAAGAGCAAUUUUUAAAAGAAAUCUGUCUUUGAAGAAGACUCACUAAAUGGAUCAUUCUCAUC
rnacentral:lncRNA from 1 species